CUCAAUACUUUUGGGUGAGCAGCAUAAAAAGACAUCAUUCAUACAUUAAAAAAAGAAGAAGACAUCAUUCAAUGCGAUUGAGGGAAAGUCAUAGUGCCUUAUUCAGUUUCCUGAUAUAAAAACAUUGAGUGUAGUUAUAAAUGACAAUAUGAAAAAAAUGACUACCGGACAUAAAAAAACAAAAGAUUUACAUCAUUCUCCAGGCUGGAAUACAGAGGCAUUUAUAAAGCCACUCUGUCAAACCUCGGGAUUCGGAUGCACAGAGACAUGCAGGGCUGUGUUCAUCAAUCAUGUUAGAGCACCGAGGAAAAUUCUGGACACCUUUCAGGGCAAAGUUUGCGUAACGAGAGUUGCUUUACCUUAAUAAGCUUUUUAGACAAUCAAAUAAAGUGCAGAGAAAGUC